rnacentral:rRNA from 1 species
UACAGAGGUCUCAAGCGUUGUUCGGAUUCAUUGGGCGUAAAGGGUGCGUAGGCGGUGGGGCAAGUCAGGUGUGAAAUCCCGGAGCUCAACUCCGGAACUGCACUUGAUACUGCUUUACUAGAGUACUGGAGAGGAGACUGGAAUUUACGGUGUAGCAGUGAAAUGCGUAGAUAUCGUAAGGAAGACCAGUGGCGAAGGCGAGUCUCUGGGACGGUACUGACGCUGAGACGCGAAAGCGUGGGGAGCGAACAGG